rnacentral:siRNA from 1 species
ACCUCGAUAUUGAUCCUUUGACAU